rnacentral:miRNA from 1 species
UCCAUCCUGAGUUUCAUGGCU